rnacentral:rRNA from 1 species
AUAUCAAUAAGCGGAGGAAAAGAAACUAACAAGGAUUCCCCUAGUAACGGCGAGUGAAGCGGGAAGAGCUCAAAUUUAAAAUCUGGUUUGCUUGCAAAUCCGAGUUGUAGUCUGAAGAAACGUUUUCCAUGAAAAUCGAGGCACAAGUCCUUUGGAACAGGGCAUCAUAGAGGGUGAGAAUCCCGUCCAUGGUCUCGAAUCUUUCAUUUUGUGAUACGUUUUCUAAGAGUCAGGUUGUUUGGGAAUGCAGCCUAAAAUGGGUGGUAAAUUUCAUCUAAAGCUAAAUAUUGGCGAGAGACCGAUAGCGAACAAGUACCGUGAGGGAAAGAUGAAAAGCACUUUGGAAAGAGAGUUAAACAGUACGUGAAAUUGUUGAAAGGGAAACGCUUGGAGUCAGUCGCGUCGGCCGGGAUUCAGUCGUCCCUUCUUCGGACGGAUUACUUCCCGGUGGACGGGUCAACAUCGAUUUCAGACGGCGGAUAAGGGAGCAAGGAAGGUGGCACCUUCACGGGUGUGUUAUAGCCUUGUUUCGCAUACGCCGACUGGGAUCGAGGUCUGCAGCGCGCCACUUAGGCCGGGGGUUCGCCCCACGUUACGCGCUUAGGAUGUUGGCAUAAUGGCUUUAAGCGA